UUACGGUCAAAUCACACUGAAACAUCAGUUCUCGUUCGAUCACCGAAGUUAAGCAUCGUAGAGCCAGGUCAGUACUUAGAUGGGGGACCGCUUGGGAACACCUGGUACUGUAAG
rnacentral:rRNA from 1 species